UAGUGGCGAACGGGUGAGUAACACGUGGGCAAUCUGCCCUGCACUCUGGGACAAGCCCUGGAAACGGGGUCUAAUACCGGAUAAUACUCCUGCACUCAUGUGUGGGGGUUAAAAGCUCCGGCGGUGCAGGAUGAGCCCGCGGCCUAUCAGCUUGUUGGUGAGGUAAUGGCUCACCAAGGCGACGACGGGUAGCCGGCCUGAGAGGGCGACCGGCCACACUGGGACUGAGACACGGCCCAGACUCCUACGGGAGGCAGCAGUGGGGAAUAUUGCACAAUGGGCGGAAGCCUGAUGCAGCGACGCCGCGUGAGGGAUGACGGCCUUCGGGUUGUAAACCUCUUUCAGCAGGGAAGAAGCGCAAGUGACGGUACCUGCAGAAGAAGCGCCGGCUAACUACGUGCCAGCAGCCGCGGUAAUACGUAGGGCGCAAGCGUUGUCCGGAAUUAUUGGGCGUAAAGAGCUCGUAGGCGGCUUGUCACGUCGGGUGUGAAAGCCCGGGGCUUAACCCCGG
rnacentral:rRNA from 1 species